CAAAUACUACCUCCGUCCGUAAAUACUUGUCAUCAAAAUGGAUAAAAGGAAAUGUAUCUAGAUGUAUUUUAGUUUUAGAUACAUCUCUUUUUAUCCAUUUUGAUGACAAGUAUUUUUGGACGGAGGGAGUAGAAA
rfam:Triticum aestivum genome assembly, contig: Triticum_aestivum_CS42_TGACv1_scaffold_641499_T_4AS-0.264222_4AL-0.200072